UUCGCAAUGCCCGAAAGGGUGACGAAGCGACGCCGCGUGUGGGAAGAAGGCCUUCGGGUUGUAAACCACUGUCGGGAGUUAAGAAAUGUAAGGGUGUUAAUAGUAUCCUUACUUGACUAAGGCUCCGGAGGAAGCCACGGCUAACUCUGUGCCAGCAGCCGCGGUAAUACAGAGGCGGCAAGCGUUGUUCGGAAUUAUUGGGCGUAAAGAGCACGUAGGCGGCCUUGUAAGUCAGUUGUGAAAGCCUUCUGCUUAACGGAAGAACAGCAGCUGAUACUGCAAGGCUAGAGUGCGGAAGGGGAGAGUGGAACUUCUGGUGGAGCGGUGAAAUGCGUAGAUAUCAGAAGGAACACCGGCGGCGAAGGCGACUCUCUGGUCCGUAACUGACGCUGAGUGUGCGAAAGCUAGGGGAGCAAACGGGAUUAGAUACCCCGGUAGUCCUAGCCGUAAACGAUGGGCACUAAGUAGAGGGGUUUU
rnacentral:rRNA from 1 species